AACUUGCCUCAGUGAAUGUAUUGCAGCUGGUGACGUCAACCUGAGGUACAAUUAUUGUUUACUGAAAACUUUCCCUAAUUCCCAGCUGUGCAGACUUGAAAUAGAGUCAAUCAUAGCAAUUUUUGAUAAUCUCUGCAGAGG